CACACGACUCUCGGCAACGGAUAUCUCGGCUCUCGCAUCGAUGAAKAACGUAGCAAAAUGCGAUACCUGGUGUGAAUUGCAGGAAUCCCGCGAACCAUCGAGUUUUUGAACGCAAGUUGCGCCCGAGGCCUUCUGGUCGAGGGCACGUCUGCCUGGGCGUCACGC
rnacentral:rRNA from 1 species